ensembl:rRNA 5S_rRNA 5S ribosomal RNA
GUCUACAGCCAUACCACCCUGAACAUGCCUGGUCUCAAAAGCUAAGAACAGUUGGGCCUGGUUAGUAUUGGUUGUGAGACCACAUGAGAAUACCAAGUAAUAUAGGCU